GACUAUCAGUCCCACACCUACAUUAAUUAUAUGCAGAAUGCACAACUCUAAUCUCCCCUAAUCCUCACUAAAGCUUAAUGAUUAUGCAUAUUAGAAGUUUUAUCUUUCAGACAUUAUGUUGACUAUAUGUAAAAUCCAUAUUGCAUGAUCAUAUUUUUUUAUUAAGAACUCAAGCUUGAUCACCACUUUAAAUUAGAAUCUAGAUGCACGUGACAUCUUUUGCUGCAUAGUACACAAAUUCCUACAGUGUUAGCGGUACCAUCUGUAGAGGCUCUCGACGUAAAGGUGGUGGACGACAAGGCUCUCUAACUAGUCAUCAUUUGUUCGGGUUCUGUGGUGGCCAUGAACUGGACGCUCUUAUCAAAAGUGCUUGUUGUUAUAUGAUGGUUGAUUAUUAGACUUGAAAAUUUGUGUUUGGAAUUUGGGUUUUGGAGACGAGAAAGAAAACUCUUUUGAAUUAAUGAGAGAAGAAUUAAAGGACAAUAGAGGAUAUAUAUGUGU
rnacentral:lncRNA from 1 species